UGAGAAGCAGCUCAAACACUUUACAAGUGAAAGCAGCAUCUGGCAUAAAGGCCGGGUUAGGCCUGAGGAAAACGUUGAUAACAUAAAACUGACACGGUGGUUAAUUUCAUAGUACACAGAAACAGCAUCCCAUCAACUACAACUCUUCAAACUUUCCUGAGAAGCUGCGUGCUGCUACAGGACAGUGUUUUGUAGACACAGCAUUUUGGGGAGGAGUCAUCCCUGGAAACAAGGUACUUACAUACUGUACAAACUACAAAAUACAUUUCAGUUGUAGCCUGUUGUUUUAACCUUCUAAUAUCAAAGUAUUGUCUCUCAGUAUUGGGAAUGCAAAAAUAACAUUUGCUAUUGGAUGGAGCCAUCCACUGCUUUGUACCUGAAUGGGUCAGCAUUUUUGAAUGAAUCUGUUUGUAAGUAAAGUAAAUAUGAUUCACACCAAAAAACAUCAGUUGCUUCGAGAUAUGUAUAUGACACUUCAUGGAAACUUAAGUCACACUACACAGAUUCAUACUAGAUAGAACACUUUUUUAAUGGUCGCAAAGUACAUACUUCUUCAAAAGAAGUAUCUACUCAAAGGGUAUGCGAUUUCGAACAUAGCCAUCAACUUGUUUAGUUCCUGAAUAAAGCUUUUUGAAUGAAUCAGUUGAGUAAAUGAUUCAAUGAUUACUCCAAAAGACAGCAGUCUCCAAAUAGGCAUUCUUCAUACUUCAUACAACACACAAUGGGCCUCAUUUAUCAAGUUAACGUAGAAACCAGCGCAGAUCCGUGCGCACAAAUCAACUUACAACAGAGUUCACGUGUGAUUCAUGUGUAUGCCGCCAAUCUCAUGGUAUGAAUGAUCACACGUAGAUAAAUGUGGUGGCAGAAAACAAUCGUCAUUUAAAUAUCACGCCCCUAAAAACACCCCAGUUUAGAAGCCUCUGCUGAGCUAAUCAAAAUGACCACAGCUGAUCACUGUUGAAAGUAAAAUGGCUUUGUGUGCCACUGAGAUUGUGAUUAGCUUAGAUGUUAUAAUUUUUACUGAGUAAAUACAGCUGGAUAAAACAGAAACUGUGUCUGUAUUCAUUUCAGGCUGCAAAGCAAAAAAAAAAAAAAGUGAUUAUUUUAAAGAAGCGUGAUUCUUUUCUAUACCCACUGUAUUUUAUUUGUUUGUCUGCCUGCAUAUCUCUUUCUGUUUGUCCUUCUCUGCUGGAGUUGAGGCCGAUGGUCCAGGCUGGUGUGGCUGGAUUUUAGUGCUUUCUGAUUCACAGUGCAGUGGAUGAGUUUCCUCAUGUGAGUGACGCUGAUGUGCAUGCAGCUAUGAAACAACUCCAGGGCACAGGCAGCAUGCCACAGAUCCACAUGAAUAUUCCAUCUUCCUGAGGUCCAGGCCUGGCAUUAUGGAGCUUUAGGCUAUCCAUACUGUCACUCAGCUCUGCUUACAAUAUCAGUAUGAAAUGAUGGCACCAGUUAGAGUCCUCAACUUUUGGUUAUCUAAUGGCUGUUUCUGCAGACUAGGGUAGCCAAUCAAGAGAAAAGAGGUCAGCAAGAAAGGCUGGAGCUCCACUGACUGUAGAGACCACCCAUCACUAUCUCAACCCAUGUGAAGAGUACAUUCCAGCAUGUGCAACUCAGUUUAAAUGCUGCCCCCUGAUACUAGACAGCCAACCGGGUAACAGCAAUAUGCAUUAUAGACAAGGAAACAGAUUUCAAUCAGGCUGACAGAAAACAGUUGAUCAACAAAAGUUGGUCUUGAUCAUAUUUCUAUAUAUUUACGCUAAAACUUGUAAAUGUAAUUGUUGACCUUAAGAUGAACUACUUUCUUCUGUAGAACACUAAAUUUUGAAGAAUACACAAGUCAUUUUCCCCAUGCAACUGAUGAGGACUGGAGCUUUCAUGCAUCAAAAAGGACAUUAAACCAGCACCAUAAAAGUGACUCAUGCACGAUAUUUCAAGGUUUUUGGAGUCAUACAAUAUAGCUUUGUGAGAGGAACAGACUGAAAUUUACAGAUAUUCUUUGCCUCCAGUGGGCUGUCUGAUUUGAACUCAAGAACCCUAUCAGUCUUGUUUUCUUUUCUUUUUCUUGAAUUCUGACCAGUUUUGUGAACUGGAUCAACAGAUCCAUUGGCUAUGUUCAGACUGCAGGCAAAUCACUUUCUCUCUCUCUCUCUCUCUCUCUCUCUCUCUCUCUCUCUCUCUCUCUCUCAGAUCAGAUCAGAUCUUUUCAGGCAGACUCUCUUCUAAAAGUGUGCAAUCAGUCAAGCGUCCCUAACUAAGCAAGCCAAAGGCGACAGUGGCAAGGAACCAAAACUCCAUCGAUGAUACAAAUGGAAAAAAAACCUUGAGAAAAACCAGGCUCGGUUGGGGGGCCAGUUCUCCUCUGGCCAGACGAAACCAGCAUGACGUGGUUUAAUUCCAGGCUGCAACACAGGUCAGAUUGUGCAGAGGACUUGUCUGGUUCUCGUGGUCUUGUGCCGAUGGUCGUGGUGAGGAGGUCUUUGCAGGGGAUCUGUCUAUGGGGCGCAUCUAGUUGACAUGGUCUCCGCUGACAUUCAGGGCUAUAGAGGUCUUCUCUAGGUGCUGAUCCACCAUCUGGUCUGGAUAUGGAUGUUAAAGAGAUGGGUCUUUAAUCUAGAUUUAAACUGACAGAGUGUGUCUGCCUCCCAAACAACGCUAGGUAGAUUGUUCCAGAGGUUGGGCACUACAUAGGAAAAGAAUCUGCCGCCCGCAGUUGAUUUUGAUAUUCUAGGUAUUAUCAAAUGGCCAGAGUUUUGAGAUUGCAGCUGACGUGAAGGACUAUAAUGUGAUAUGAGCUCAAUCAAGUAUUGAGUAGCUAAACCAUUCAGGGCUUUAUAAGUAAUUAGCAAGAUUUUAAAUUGUGUUUGUUGUUCAAUAGGGACCCAGUGCAGAGUUGACAGA